rnacentral:sRNA from 1 species
CCUGAAGUCCUGUAUUUAUCCAAAGAACAGGUACAGCACAGGCAGUUGCAGAGGAAACGUCUCCCCUUCUCCAUCCCAUGUAUUCACCAUUAAUAUGCUUCUACCCUAAUCUGUAGGGACCAUUUCUAUGAGCAAGAGUGAAUUCAGG